rnacentral:rRNA from 1 species
UACGUAGGGUGCGAGCGUUGUCCGGAUUUAUUGGGCGUAAAGAGCUCGUAGGCGGUUUGUCGCGUCGGCCGUGAAAUCUCCACGCUUAACGUGGAGCGUGCGGUCGAUACGGGCAGACUUGAGUUCGGUGAGGGGAGACGUGGAAUUCCUGGAUGUAGCGGUGAAAUGACGCAGACUAGUCAGGAGGAACACCGGUGGCGAAGGCGGGUCUCUGGGCCGAGUGACUGAC